rnacentral:lncRNA from 1 species
GAGCGCGCCUACCGGGACCGCGAGUCUCACGACUACAGCCCGGAGCGCCUGCGUGAGGUGCGCCGGGAGGAGCUGGAGCGCGCGCGCGCCCCCGACUCAGACGCCGCGCUGCUGCCUGCAAUGCACUACCCGCGCCUGGCUCCUGGGGCGCUGCACGGUGCGCUCCUGGCCCGCACCCCGCCGGCCGCCGCCGCGCUCGGUGCGCCUCCUCCACUGGUGACGGCGGGCGGGGUUCCCACGCCUCCCGCCCGUCCCAGGACGACGCCCCUGGCGCUGGGGCCUGGCGAGGCACGAGACUACUCGCCAGCGUGCAAUCCGCCCGAGGUGGAGGCGCGGUAGUCCCGGAGUAGCGAGCUGGCUCACUUUAAAUUCUUGGGACCUGAGCACAGUUCCCUGAGUCCGGGAGCAGCGCCACCCGCUCCACGCUGCAGCCUACAUAGUCGAGGACUUUUCGCUUUUCUGGGGGUAACAUCAUUUUCCGAGCUUGCAAUUAGGUCACUGGGAAAAAUUUAGCUUUGUAUCUCCCCCCUCUCAAGUGACAAGCAUUUUUAAUGGUUUUGUAUUUUUCUUAAUUUUGUGCUCUAACGACAUUUUAAAGAACCAAAAAAAAAAAAAAAAAAAGAAUUUUUAGUUGGGAUUUGCAGUUUAACUUCUCGGAUCCCAUUUGAGCCCCAGGGUUUGUCUUAUUUAUGGAAAGAAACAGUCUUUCUGUCCAGCGCACUGUGAGGCUCCGAACUCAGGCCCGGCUCUGGCCUUCCCUUGGUACUUGGAACCGACGUUACAGAUAUAUAUUAAAAUAAUAAUUAAUAAUAAUGUACAAAACUUUGGGUUUUCUGCCUUAUUCUAUUAUGCAUAGGUGUAAGAGAAUUUCCUUGUUUUUUUUUUUAGGAAAAAAUGUAAAUACUGUUGAUAUAAUUAUAAAACUUAUUAAAUUCUUAACCUGGACAGUCUAUAAAAGUUUCUAGAAACCCCUCUGGUUAUUUGUGUAUGUGGUCGCAAAAACCCACUCCACUGUCAGUCGUGAACACACUCAACAGUUUAACUGCAACAGCUAUCCUUCAGCUAUGCACGCCUGGGAGGGCAGAGCGGGAUGUUGGGGGAGGGGGGAG